AACAAAAGGUGGAGCUGAAAGGCAAGCUAGAAAAUGAGUGAACUGCAGUGAUGACACAAAGAUCAGAAGGAAGGGACUCUCUGAAUAUCCAUUUUAAUUUCUUGUUUGAGUGUGGGAGUGCACUGAGUCACUGAACUAGAAGGGAAGUGGUAAUACAUCACACAGGCGUAUAAUUCCUUUAUUGGAUCUAGUUUUAUGUUCAGGCAAUUAACACACCACUGUUGAAACCUGAGGCACUUCCUAAGGACAUGACAGAGUGCUUUGGGCUCUAAGCAAAUUGCCAAAUGCUUUCCAGCUCUUUGGUCUUAAUGAUGUGAUAUCCCAGGCUGGUGAAGGUUGGCAGAGGUAGCUUGGACAGAUGAGUAUGGAUGAAAUUUAUACAGCCACAGCAUGGAUAAUUGAGAUUUCUAACAGUGCCAUCAACAAAACAACAGAAGAAGUGGUUCAUGCCAUAGAGACAAUAAUAGAUCUGUGACAAGAAAUUGAAAUAACGCUAGCAGGAGGAAUGAGAAGGUGGUAAGAAUAUUUCUUUACAAAACAGCCUAAACAACCCCAACUCUCUCAGCCUGAGAGAAGUACACAGGAGAGGUGUUCCAGCCCUUGGAUCAUUUUUGUGGCCUCCUCUGGACCUGCUCCAAGAAGUCCAUGUCUUUCCUGCACUGAGGACUCCAGAGCUGGAUGCAGCACAGCAGCUCUCCAAAGUGAUGCGGUACUUCAUAAAGAAGACCUGGAAGGUUGUCUUGUCUAAUGAAGUGCCAUUGGAAAAAAUAUUUCUGUUCUAGAUAUAUCCAAGUAUCUCGGUUGAGCUGUGGGCUUCAUUUUGGUGGCUGCUCUUCAAACAUACAUUGAGAGGGUUCCUGGUCCCAAGAUCCUCAGUCAAAUUAGAGAAGGAAUACACAAUCAAAGAAUUGUUGAAAUCAGUGUUUGAAUCAAGAACAAAGCCCAGCACUCUUUUGUGUACAGAAGGAGGCAUGGGUUGCCAGACCCCACCAUUUCUCUUACAGACUCUACUGAUACAGAAGAAAAGUGUUUGGAACCACAACACUUCCUGGGGCCUAGUGCACAACACUGUUGAGAAAUGGAAGGGACACCCAGAAAUUUGGUCAAAGAUUUGUUGGAUGGCAUGAUGCAAUCUAGAGAGGGUCAAAAAUGUAAAAUCUGUUCCCAGUGAUCCACGAGAGAAAAACAAAGGUCUGGUGUUCCACUUGCCCUGUAACUGUUAAACUACACCUGUGAAGAUGGGAUCAUCACUACUAGAAGUUUGCACGUCAGCUUCUGAUUUGGAAAUAAUAAUUUGCUGCCUUUGCUGAAAGACUGGAAAAAAACCCUUUAGAUUAGGUGACUAGGAUAAAGAAAUUAAAAUAAUAAGAAGGCACUGAAACCAUUCAUACAAAUAAAUGGAUGAGCUCAAGGUAUUAACUGGGGAUGAUUAAUUCAUGUUGUUUCAAAUUAGGCAUACACAGAAUGAAUGAUAAGGUUAACGUUUCUACAAAAUCAACAAAAUGUUCCACCUUAUCCUAGCAACCCUAAGUAACUUUCUGGGUGUAUUGUAGUAUCUCAGCAGGUCUGGCACCUGCUAUGCCGGAUGUUGUUUUCAUAUGCAAAUCAUAUGCAUAUGCAGUAUUUCAGCCUUUUUCUUUUGCAAAAACAUCCACACACCAUUUUGUGCAGGGUUCCUAUCAUGCUUUUAUUUCUAUAACCAAAUAUAUCCUAGGCAAAAUUUUGAUUGUUUUUUUAUACUUUACUUAGCCUCUUUUGUUUGCUUGCUUCUUUCUGUAAAUAUUUGGGGUCUUUGAUUUAAAUUUCCACCUUGUGUGACAGACCACCUUUGAUACUCUAUAGGCAGAACUUAGGAUGAAGGAUACUUUCUAAGGUAUUCUUCAUGACUUAGCAUAGCCUUCCUUAGCAUAGAAGAUGGCUUAGAAAAGGUGAAAUAAAUAAAGAGAAAAGUAACACUUACAUGGCUGAUACCUGGGAUUUUAUCAGGCCGGGGAUGCUACUUCAACAUGAUACUAAAUUAACACUAAAAGUAAUAAAAGAAUUUUAGCUUUUUUUUUUUAACUUCUCCUUCCUAAUUCCAAAUUUUAGAGAAACAGCAUUUCCCCAAAGAUGCCUUCCUUUCUCAUUCUGUCUCCAAGAUCUCUGGUUUUCAUUUCCUCCUCAAAACCUUUUCAUUCUCCUAAAAUUAUUUUUUCCCUUCCCAACUGUAACCCACUAUUGAUGAGUAAAACAAAAUUUUUGAGAUACUAUGUUCAGGCUUUUUUACCUUACUGCUCACUUUUCAAUUACCUGUGAUUUACUUAAGGUCUAUUCAAAAGGGAUUCAGUCAUCACAGCGCAGAACACAGCAGAUACUGGUAUUAGACAUGCACUCCAUGCCUCUCUGUUUGGCUUUUAGUCUCUAUAAAUAACAAGUAAAAAGAUUAAGAUGCUUACAAAAGGCAUCCAAAAGAACCAGCACACUGGGUGAGUAGUCACUGGAUGAAGUAAAAAAAACCAAACCAACAAAAAAAACCCACCACCAGUGUUCAUUAAUUUUAUACCUCCUGGGUCAUAAGCACUUUACUCUGGUCUUCGUGGAAGAGCUUCUGUCCACCAAGAACUUGUGCCCUGAGCCUUCCUCCACUGUUCCUGUGUCCAGCCUUUUGUUAAGAGUGGAAGAAACAGUCCUUUCUUCCAGAAAUGGGUAUGAUGAUGCUUUCUUGAUCCAGAUUGCAAGCAAACCACAUUGACAUUUCUGCUUCUGGACUUUCAGCUAUACUAGAGUUGAAUGGAUUAUGAGUGAGGGAGUUUUGGCUUCUUUCUUGAAGCUGGAGUAUGUCUUUCCUGUCCCUGUGCCACAGAGCAUUUAAUAGAGAUAAUGAAAUAUUAAUUAGAACAAGAAUAGAACUGCAGCUCUGCCUUCUUUCAGGAAAGUGCUCUAGCCACUAGAUCACGAAGGCAUGAAAAGCCUUAUCAUUCCCAAUGAAUAUUUAAUAAUGCCAGACAAUGUGAAAUAGCUCUGGGAGGAGAGAAUUGACUUCCAUUUCAGCACCUACAACCUGGGUUUUUCUUUCUGAAGGUAGGACAUGUUCCAUCCUGGAAGGCAAUCCGAAUAUACUGCCUUUCGGAUGUUGGUCCAAUCUUUAAGCCAAGUGAAAAGGGCUAACAAGGGUUUCUUUGGCCCCUUUUUGCCUUGAAACCUAGUCUGACAGGCACACAUUAUUGCACCUUGGGAAAACCAAGGUGCAGAAACCUCUUUCUCUAGAGUCAUAGCUAGGAUUAAUUCUGGGACAGUUUUAAGCCAAAGAACAGAAAAUGACGCACUUCCAGGCAUGUUCUGAAUAAAACUCUAGGAAGCUUAAUAUUCUGCUGGGACGUUGACUAAGACAAGCAGUUUCUUCUGAUUGUGCUGCCUCCUGAGUUGUGCUGUGCAGAGAUUGUGAGGACUGUAACUUCAGUUGCCUCCAAACAGAAAAACUGAAUAGUGGGAGGUAAAUGGGAUAGUUCCUGACCCCCUUGGAUUUAUUACUGAGGCGUCCUUACAAACUUGCAAGAUGAUACUAAUUCACACCAAUAUUAAAUAUCUAAUAUCAGGACCAAGAUAAUAAAAAUAAAAUUGCUUUUAGAAUAAAAAUUUUUUGGAGCUCGUUCAGUGGUCUCAUGACAUCUGUUCCAUGCUGAGAAUACCAAGCACCUUGCUGGUAUUUUUAUCUACACUUUGUUUUUACUUGUUUAAGAUAUAGAUAAUUUACUUCCAACUGAUCUUUUUCUUCAUCUUUUAAUGUUCAUAUUUUUAUUAGGUUGAGAAAUACUUAGUGUUCAAGGCCAAGGAUUCCUAAUUUCUUCAUGUUUAUAUUCUGCUGUUUAGUAAUUUGUGGAGAUUCAAGAAAUCUGAGACUAGUAAAAUACAAAUACUGGUUUGUGGGUAAGGGUUUCAGGGAUGCGUGUUUCUUUUUUUCCUUGGCUUUUGUUGUGUUUGCUUGUUUUUUACACUAAGCUUGUUUUUUUACACUGAGCACUAAGUGCUACACUAAGCACUAAGAAUGUAAUUCCAUAUAUAAACAUUCAGUAGUCUCAAAACAUAGAAUCCCAAAACAAUAUUGAAGCCUAUCUGUAAGUAGCCCAACAUUCUAAAAUACUGGCUAUCCAUAGAUUCUUCAAGGCAAAUCCAGAAUACGCAGCAGAAUCUGGCCAGUCUGAGCCUUUUUUUUCUCUCUUCUUAUAAUCAGGAAAAUCUGGCACCAUAACAGCUGCCUAUACAUGUUUCAAAGCAUUGAAGAACAAGGCUAAAAUUUAUUGAAGUUAAUCACAAUUUUUCCAUUUACUUAAAGGGUUUCUGGAUUUCAUCCCAAGGAAGAUUAACAGUUAAAGCCAUAUACAUGUUUUAACAAGAAUAAAUUAGUGAAGUAAAAAACCAAUGUAGACCAUCAAGAAAAACAUUCAGAACCUCUAAGGUCUGUUGUGAUAAUGAUUAUUAAAACAAAUCAUAAUACUCCCAUUGCUGAGAGAGAAAUGACCAGUAAAUGUUCUUUGCAGGCAAAGGGGAAACCAAAGAAUAUUGUUUGAGAAAUGCAUUCAAUGAGCUAAUUCUUGCUGACGAAAUGCUGUACUAUCUUGCAGAGAUUUCAAGGGCUGUAAUUUCAGUUGUCUCAAAACAGAAAAACUAAAUAGUAGAAUAUAAAUUAGAUAGUUCCUGCCCCCCUUUGAUUGAUUAUUGUAGUAUCCUUGGAACUGUAGUAGAGCAUUUCAUUACAGUUACAUAAGUAAUAACAAGUCUUUCCAUAUACAAAGUAUCUUUGGUGGAUUAUUCAGUGGUAAUCUACACAUAUACCCUAUUUCUAUUUCAACAGAAAACACAAGGAUUAUAGGAGGAAUUGCAAUUAAGUAGUACACGAUGAUACAAAUGGCUAAGAUUAUAUUUUUGACCAAAACCACAACUCCUAUAUUUCUUAGAAGGAAGCUUUCAAAAUAAAUAUUGUUUAGUGAUUAUUAAAAGCAAAUCUGCUGAAAAGUUUAACAAUUAAAUUGGAUCAAGGGUAUCUCCAAUUCAGGACUUCUCAGGAUAGGUGUGAAUGGAAUGGGAAUCUUCCUGUCCUUGCUCUCGAGCAAUUGCAGAUCUGUUUUAUGGUUGCUAAUAUGUGAUUCCUUACUUACUUGGAAGAGUGUUAAAGUCCUUCUGUAGCUCUAUUACCCACUUAGGUGCCUGUGAAGAAGGGUCUGAAAAGGCCUUUUUAAAAAAAAAAAAAAAAGAAGGAACAACCAACCAACUUAUCUACAAAAAAAAAAAAAAGACAGCUUGCUUGCUAGUAAAAACACUGUACUAUCUAGUAGAAUGCAAAGCACACACUGACAUAACUGCAAACAAGCUGAAAAUAAGUGCAAAAACCAAACACUUUGAAAGGAUAGAGCAGGUGACUGGCUUUUUCAUAAAACUCAGCUGGACUUUAAAAAUGGUAUCUCUGGUUUUGUUAUGUGUGUUUUCAUAGGGCUUUGUUACAAUGUGAUUGGACAGAUAGCAACGGCCUAGGUGAGAUUUACAACAUCACAGGUUUAAUGAAGAACAAAGAAAUAUAAGAUAGGUUCUUUAAAAAAACCCACACACAUUAAUAAGAAUAAGCAUGGAAAUAACAUGAGACUUCAAGUUACAGUUGCAGAGAUGCCUUUACAGAUAGGUUAUGGGGUUUUCUUCUGUAAACAUCUGAAACGUCGCUACAUUUUUACAUGGAAACAUCUUUAAAAUAGAAAAUCCAGGUGAUUAUAAACGAUGCUUAAAUACUACUCCAAUUUCAACAGUAAACACUACAGGAAGAAACAGUGUUCAUUAAUCACUGCAAAAUUAGUUAUUCAGUAAAGUUUUAGCAACACCAAAUUUAUGCACGAAGGAAUGCAGCCUCCCCAGUGCCUCUCACAGACCUGUUCAGGAAAGCUGUUCAAUACAUUUUCUUUUUAACAUACGUAUUUCAAAACUUAGACUUAGCCUACUACUAGAACUUGUUUUCACAUCAAAUGAAACCCCAAGCUCCAGUAUAAUGAGUCUUAACAAAUAUAUUAAAAUGAAGAUUUAUCGGAGGUUCAAAACAUGUAGUGUUUAUGUCUAAGGAAGAAGAAAAACAAUACAUACCUGUAAGAUUGACUUUAUAUUACAUUUCAGAAAAAAAAAUUUUAAGAAGGAAUAAUCAAAGUCAGGGGAGUAAUUACAAAACAAGACAAAAAAGCAACUAGAGUAUAUCAUUCCAGAUUGUCUUAAUAUCUUUCUUCUGUAACUUUCUAUGCAAAACAAACACAGUAAACCUCAGAAGGCUCUUACAUACCCACUGGGUAGCUGCCAAUCACAAUACAAGCAAUUACCUGCCAAAAGGCACACAUGGAUUUACUGAUGAUGUUGCAAACCAGAAGGUGUGUAUAUUCUCAUUAGCAAGUCAGGCAGCUGAGGCAAAUAGAGGGUAUAUUUUAGCCUGGGACAAAGGCUAAAUAGUUUGUGUUGCCUUUCAGCACUCAGGCUAAAGAUAUGGGAGGUAGACAGGGAACAUGGUGGUAUGAAGGGUUGUUUACAUUGUAAACAGAAAAAAGAAGAGAAAAAGAUUUCAAGAAGGAUGAGACAAGGGAUGUUGUGGCUGAUUUGGGAGUAGAAAUAUGCUGUUGUCUAAAAAGUGGGUGGAUGUACCACAUGGUGUGGUAUGUGAUCUGAUAAUGCUGGUAGUUGGGAUUUAUAGUGGCCCACCCUCUUGUUUAAUUAGAGCAUUUUGGUUUUGUUUGUACUAUGAUUGCAAACACGAUGAGUUUACCUGCUCCUACUGUCAACUUCUUGGGGAUUUUCCAGAAGUCAUGGUGGAAGAGUUAAAUUCCUUUAGCUUUAUUCUGAACUUUGCUGGGUGUUCCCUAGUCCCCAGAAGAUAUCCUGGAACUCUUCUGCUUGGUAUUGCUCCUCUUCAUGGGGCUGAACAAAUGUAUUUUUUUAGCCUUUGCUAUUACUCAUCUUUUCCUACUUGUUUAGCUAUGUUUUUAAGGAAGGUCGUCACUGUAAAGCAAGUUUUACUUGUUUCUGUCCCAGUUUCCAUGACGUUUCUUCAUGUAUGCUUAUAGCAAGCUACUGUGUUGUAUUACUCUACUGUUUUCAUCCUGAUCAUCCAUUUGCCUUUCACUGCAAGAUGGUCCAUUUUCCUCCCACAGAUUCACUGAGUGGGUGGAGCUGCAUCCUCCUCUUAGUCUUUGUAGUCCAUGCUAAGUGUUGACAAGAUUCUUGCACUGUGAGAUAGUCCUCUGCAUUUCUUGCAUCUUUUCUCAGAUGCCAGCCAUCUUCUGGUUUGUUUUUUGGGUUUGUUUGGUUCGGGUUUUUUUUUCCACUUAACAUGUAGUUCCAUUUGCUGCAUUAAUUUCUUAUUUUGAUCUUUAUGUGUGUAUAUGUACAUGUAUCUCAGGGGUUUUUUUCUCUCCUGCGAAGUAAUUUUAUUUUUUUCAUUACAGUGAUGUGAUAACUGUUCACUCUUCAUCUAUUUCAGUACGUAAUGUAUGAUGUAGACUGCUUUGCAAAUUCUAAAAGCCUUAUAGAUACUGAAUCUUGAUAUCUCAAUAGGUUCUCUCUGAGGGUUUGGGGGGAGGUUUUGGGAACAUGGGUGUGGUGGCAUUUUUUAGUUAUUCUGAUUGACAUUGUAUGACAUUUUACCAGAAUUUCUAUCCAAAAGUUUUAUCUCCAUUUCUGCAAAUGGGCAGGUACAGAAAUUAUGGGCAAGUUGCUUAAAGGUCAUACCUGCAAAGAUGUUUUAGAUCAUAAGUCCUUUUGCAAUAAAUAUAGAUGUGUAAAUGAAUGGCAAUUUCUCUAGCAGAAGUUGUGUGUAUUUGACAUAUAUCAACUAUUGGCUGAAUUAUUAUUUUAGAAGAAAAAUAUUCUUAAGCCAUAGAAAACACCAGGGGACCUAAAAAUACAUAUUAAAGAACAUAAUUUCAUUUUCAACUUUCCACCGGUCAACUGCACAGACCAAACCAUAUGAAAUAUGAAGAGCCUUGAAAACAUUACCUAUGGGCUUGAGUGCUUCUUAUUUUAUUACCUGCAGGUCAAAAUGGGCUGUCACAUUAAGAUGGAAAAUAGAGAAACCCUAAGAUGGAUCUUCCUGCAAUUUGGCAUAUGUUGGGUUAAAAUCAAAGAGAACAUUUAUUUUACUGCUGAGACGGCUGUGUAGGAGGUGCAAGUGCAGAUCAUCAAUAAUCUCAGUUCUGUAUGUUUUAACUGAAAUACUACAGAACUGUUACAAGCAUGUAGUAAAAAGAUAUGGAAUUCAGUCUGUGACUAAAAUCCAAAAGGCACUGAAUAGACACUGCUGGCUUUCCUUCCUUUCAUAGUGUAAUUACAGCUGUUUUCAAGCAAGCUAUAACAUGAUGAGUAAAAAUUCAAUGUCAGUAAUAUAAUCGUGUAUCAUAUAUCAGUGUUUCUUAGCAACAACCCACUAAUGUUCAGUGAAGGCCGUGCUCAAAUUAAGUAAUAAAUAUCAGUGGAGAAUAUUUUCAAUGAAUGGUUACGCUUCAGGUCUUUCCCAUUUUGAAAAGAUGUAGAUAUUAAAAAAUCUUGCUGUUCUACAUUGAAAAUAUGGAACACUGGGGGUUUUUGUUUUAUUUUUAACAAUCUGCAUAUAAUUCAGCUGUGACAGUGUUCAUUAAACCAAAACUCGCUUCAAAAUAAUUCUGUUAUCUUUGUUAUAAAAGUAGAUUGUCUGUCCUGUCAGAAAGGCUGUUUUUCAGCCCCUGAGGUUUCUCCAAAAUAAUAGGUUUGUUAUGGAGUCAGUGUUGAAUGUGUAGAUGUAUAAACCACCACUUGAAGGAAGAAAAAUGGUUUUUUACCAUGUUCAAGAUACAUUGCCUGAGAUACACUCAAAAUCCUUCUCUCUUAAAGUGCAACCCCUUUCUGAAACCAGGUAAACUUUUAACACUUCAGCAUCCAGAGGGCAAUUAAGUUAAAUAACAAAAACUGUAAAAGCCAAGGAACAGGGAAUAUCAGAGAUUAUUACUACUACCCUGAUAGUAAAUAUUAGCAUUUUUACAAACUUAUGAUUCUUUAUUCAUUACCCAAACGACAAAAACUGUGUGUGAAUUAACACUAUUCUAACAGCAGCUUGGAUUGGGAUCAAAUUCUCCUCUGCCAUUCACAGAUGUGGCUUCGUGGAGGUUUGCAUUUCCUGAACCUCUCAACCCUGUAUGGUCAGAACUUUUGAGAAAACCCAUCUUCCAGAAAUUUUUCUGCCUGAUGUACUUUGCUUUUGAAGGAGAUCUCUUCAGGUUUCCCUUUUCCUUCCUGAUCCUAGCACUAGGGUGUUACAUACUCUUACUACUUACAAACUAUUAACCUUUCCUGAUAGGGAACAUGCAUAAGUAUAAAAUGAUUGGUGUUUGAUCAAAGAAUGAACCUUCCCUUGUAAGAAUAAAUGCUUGAUGUAUGUGUAUAUCAUUUACUUCAAAAGGAUUUUUCCAGUGCAUUAACAAGCAUUUAAAGUCCAGCAGAAGAGCUUAACCUCUGAAAGAGGCACAUUUUGUCUUAAAGUGACAAAGCAGUUGACAGGUGAAAAUAAAAGACAGCUUAGAGGACAGCUGACAUGCAUUAGCUAUAAGGCCCUCUCCUUGGA